UGUCCAUAGUAUAGUUCAGAUUCGUCCGAAGUUUUAAAACACCCAUUCCUGUAUUUCCGAACUUAUGAGUCACGUAUUUUAACAAUUGACCACAGGUUUCUAUUAUUCCCUGUUAACACCAUUACUUUAUCAACCACAAAUAUUCCGCUUUCGACUGUUGAUUUAUGUGGUUACUGGCUUUACUUGUAAAGUUGUACUUUUUAGUUAAAGAUGGAGUCUGCGAGUAUGAAUUCUACCGAAGAAACUUCUACUUCUAAUUCUCACAAGGAGAUCAGGAAAUACUCCUUACGAAUACGACGAAUCAAGAGAUACAAGAAAUAAUGGAUACCGAAAGAGAGUCGAGUGAGUCCGAAUCUGAUUCAGAGUUCGAUCGAAUCGAAACUAACGUGGACGAUAUAGCUGGAUAUAGAGAUAUAAUAAUACUUCAGUCUAUCUCAAAAGGUCAGUCAAUGAAUUCUGAGAAGAGUACUACGCCAGAACCAUUAUUUCGGAAGAAUCUAG